GAAUGAACCAGAGUCAGACUUGAUGUUCUGGGAAGAAUUUUGCUAUUUCAUCUCUAAAAAGUCCGAAAGCGCAAUUCAUGAGUUAUCUGACUCGGUUUGGAUAUAGUUUUUGCACAGGUGAAGUACGAAGCCAAGUAUGAAGCUAUGAAGCGUAUGAACAAAG